rnacentral:rRNA from 1 species
CACCGGCGGCUCGAGUGGUGGCCACUUUUAUUGGGUCUAAAGCGUCCGUAGCCGGCUUGGCAAGUCCCCUGGGAAAUCUGGCGGUUUAACCGUCAGGCGUCCAGAGGAUACUGCCAGGCUUGGGACCGGGAGAGGUGAGAGGUACCUCAGGGGUAGGGGUGAAAUCUUGUGAUCCCUGAGGGACCACCAGUGGCGAAGGCGUCUCACUAGAACGGGUCCGACGGUCAGGGACGAAAGCUGGGGGCACGAACCGG